UACGUAGGGUGCAAGCGUUGUCCGGAAUUAUUGGGCGUAAAGAGCUCGUAGGCGGUCUGUCGCGUCGGCUGUGAAAACUCGGGGCUCAACUCCGAGCUUGCAGUCGAUACGGGCAGGCUAGAGUUCGGCAGGGGAGACUGGAAUUCCUGGUGUAGCGGUGAAAUGCGCAGAUAUCAGGAGGAACACCGGUGGCGAAGGCGGGUCUCUGGGCCGAUACUGACCGCUGAGGAGCGAAAGCGUGGGGAGCGAACAGG
rnacentral:rRNA from 1 species